AGCCUACGGGACGCAGCAGUGGGGAAUAUUGCACAAUGGGGGAAACCCUGAUGCAGCGACGCCGCGUGAGCGAAGAAGUAUUUCGGUAUGUAAAGCUCUAUCAGCAGGGAAGAAAAUGACGGUACCUGAGUAAGAAGCUCCGGCUAAAUACGUGCCAGCAGCCGCGGUAAUACGUAUGGAGCAAGCGUUAUCCGGAAUGAUUGGGCGUAAAGGGUACGUAGGCGGCCUGCUAAGUCUGGAGUGAAAGGUACCGGCUCAACCGGUACAGGCUCUGGAAACUGGCGGGCUAGAGAGCAGGAGAGGGG
rnacentral:rRNA from 1 species